GGGUCAGUAGGUUGGUCGUGCCACCGGUACGUACUGGUCUCACUGAUUCCUCCUUCCUGAAGAACCGUAAUGCCAUUAAUUUGGUGUUGCGGGGAAACAGGAUUGUUACUUUGAAAAAAUUAGAGUGUUUAAGGCAAGCUAACGCUUGAAUACAUUAGCAUGGAAUAAUGAAAUAGGACGAUCGAUCCUGUUUUGUUGGUUUCUAGGAUUGACGUA
rnacentral:rRNA from 1 species